rnacentral:rRNA from 1 species
UACGUAGGGUGCAAGCGUUGUCCGGAAUUAUUGGGCGUAAAGAGCUCGUAGGCGGUUUGUCGCGUCGAAUGUGAAAACCCGGGGCUCAACUCCGGGCCUGCAUUCGAUACGGGCAGACUAGAGUUCGGUAGGGGAGACUGGAAUUCCUGGUGUAGCGGUGAAAUGCGCAGAUAUCAGGAGGAACACCGGUGGCGAAGGCGGGUCUCUGGGCCGAUACUGACGCUGAGGAGCGAAAGUGUGGGGAGCGAACAGG